CGGACGGGUGAGUAAUGUCUGGGAAACUGCCUGACGGAGGGGGGUAACUACUGGAAACGGUAGCUAAUACCGCAUAACGUCGCAAGACCAAAGAGGGGGACCUUCGGGCCUCUUGCCAUCGGAUGUGCCCAGAUGGGAUUAGCUAGUAGGUGGGGUAACGGCUCACCUAGGCGACGAUCCCUAGCUGGUCUGAGAGGAUGACCAGCCACACUGGAACUGAGACACGGUCCAG
rnacentral:rRNA from 1 species